rnacentral:misc_RNA from 1 species
AGACAAGCCAGCUAACCUUCUCGACCUUUUUUCCUUUUUCUCUUACUCAAACCAAAUAUACCUCUCUUCUCAUCUUCUUCGAACCUUCCACCAUUUCCGAUCUCAAAUCUUCUGCUAAUUCUGCCCUUUCUUGGAAUUGGGAAAUUUGAUGAUUUAGCUGAAAUUUUUUGGAAGGAGCUGUUGUUGUUGAGGGUUUGCUGAAGGAACUGUAGAGAGAUGGCGUGCAAAGGGUUUUGGGAGUGCUUGUUGAAGCUCUUGAACUUUUUGUUGACCCUUGUUGGUUUGACAAUGGUGGGGUAUGGUAUUUAUCUAUUUGUUGAGUACAAAAAUCAUUCACACUCCGGAGAUGAUUACCCAGUUGCACCACCUAUGAGUGGUGACAUGAUAGAGUUUGGUCGUCCAAUGCUGAUGGCUGUAUCGUUGGCUGAAAACAUAUUUGAUAAACUUCCAAAACCUUGGUUCAUAUAUUUGUUUAUUGGUAUUGGAGCAGUUCUUGUAGUUGUAUCUUGCUGUGGUUGUAUUGGAGCGGCAACAAGGAAUGGUUGCUGCCUGAGUUGUUACUCCAUGUUGAUUUUCUUGUUGAUCUUGGUAGAGCUAGGUGCUGCUGGUUUUAUAUUCUUUGAUAAAAGCUGGAAAGAUGAAAUUCCAAGGGAUAAAACGGGCAACUUUGAAACGAUCUAUGACUUUCUGGAUGACCACUGGAAGAUUAUUAAGUGGGUUGCCCUUGGUGCUGUUAUAUUCGAGGCUCUUAUAUUCUUAUUGGCCCUCGUAGUAAGGGCAGCAAACAGACCAGCAGACUAUGAUAGUGAUGAUGAGUACAUAGGUGGUCCCAGACAACAAAUCCGACAGCCACUGAUCAACAAUAGGCCACCAGCAAAUCCUGCAACUGGUGUCCCUGUUACUGCUACUCUUGAUAAUCGUCCAAGUAGAAAUGAUGCGUGGAGUACACGUAUGAGGGAAAAGUAUGGACUUGACACAUCAGAGUUUACUUACAACCCAUCGGAGUCGAACAGAUAUCCGCCAACUGCCGCACAGCCGCAAGAGGAAAGGAAGGGUUGUACCAUAAUGUGAUGAUAUGGUCUUCUGUAAAUUUGGGAGGACUGAUGAUUGUGCUUGUCUGUGUAAUUUAGUCUGGUGUGAAGUAUUUUGUGUCUUCUGUAAGCCUUUUUCUCUUUGUGGAGUCUUAUGUACAAAACACAGUUUUCGGGAUCUUCACUUCUUGUUAAUUGUAGUACAUUUUGAAGGAUGAUUCUCUUCAUGUCCAUGCUUUGAAGACUUGAAACCAUGAUUACUGACAAUUGUGUGGAGCCCUUGAUAGAAUCAUGUAAUAGAAGAUGAAAAUGAACUUUUGAGGG